ACGGCCCAGACUCCUACGGGAGGCAGCAGUGGGGAAUAUUGCGCAAUGGGGGAAACCCUGACGCAGCGACGCCGCGUGAAGGAAGAAGGCCUUCGGGUUGUAAACUUCUUUGAUCGGGGACGAAGAUGACGGUACCCGAGGAACAAGCCACGGCUAACUACGUGCCAGCAGCCGCGGUAAUACGUAGGUGGCAAGCGUUGUCCGGAAUUACUGGGCGUAAAGGGCGUGUAGGCGGGGGGACAAGUCAGAUGUGAAAUACCGCGGCUUAACUGCGGGGGUGCAUCUGAAACUGUUCUUCUUGAGUGUCGGAGAGGAAAGUGGAAUUCCCAGUGUAGCGGUGAAAUGCGUAGAGAUUGGGAGGAACACCAGUGGCGAAGGCGGCUUUCUGGACGAUAACUGACGCUGAGGCGCGAAAGCGUGGGGAGCAAACAGGAUUAGAUACCCUGGUAGUCCACGCUGUAAACGAUGGAUACUAGGUGUAGGAGGUAUCGACCC
rnacentral:rRNA from 1 species